rnacentral:rRNA from 1 species
AUUUACUAACUUAAUACUGUAAAGGAAAGGAAUAGAAUUUUAUUAUUUACCUUUUGCAUAAUGGUUUAAUAAUAAAUUUAUAAACUUUUAUAUCCCGAAUUUAGAGGAUCUACCCAUGCUAAUUGUCUUAGAAAUAUAAUGUUUCAAAAUUAUUAAUAAGUAUGGUUAGGGGUGAAAGGCUUAUCAAAUCUAAGGAUAUCUGGAGUGAUAUGAAAUGUAUUUAGUACAGAAUAAAUUUGAAUAAAAAAAUGUUAAGAUUUUUUUAAGGAGUAUGUAAGUUUAUAUUAUGGAUUAACCUCCUUAUAAACUUAUCAAAUUUUAAUUUUUUAUUUUAAUAUCUAUAAUAAAUUUGUACUUAAAUUAUUUUGAAGUUAAUUAUGUUAAAAUUAGUAUAUUUAUAGUUUUUUUUUAAGGAACUCGGCAAAUUAUUCACCUGUUUAUCAAAAACAUAGUCUUAUGAUAUAAGGUAACACCUGCCCACUGAUUUUUUUAAAUGGCCGCAGUACCUUGACUGUGCUAAGGUAGCAUAAUAAAUUGACUCUUAAUUAGGGCCUUGAAUGAAAGGAUUGAUAGUUUCUGUCUUAUUUAACUUAUUAAAAUUUACUUAAUAGGUGAAAAUUCCUAUGUAGUAUAAAAUAGACAAGAAAACCCUAGGAGUUUUUUUUUGUUGGGGCGACAGUAUACCAAAACCUAUAUAAUUGUUAUUGAAACGAAUAAGAUUAAUAAUAAAUAAGCUACCCUAGGGAUAACAGCAUAAUUUUUAAAGUUUGUGACCUCGAUUUUGGA